rnacentral:lncRNA from 1 species
UUCUGGGUUUCCAAUUCAGUAUUCUCGGUUUGUAUUUUAUAUAGCUUCCAGAAGGUUCUUAGUUCUUUAUCAGUAACAAAAAAUUUAUUUUCUUUCAUAUUUUCUACAUAAUCCAUAUAUAUAUUCCCUGCUGGUGUCCAAAAUUACACUUCCCUAUAUAUAAAUAUAUAUAGCCUUUGUAAGCUUUUUCUGCCAAGUAAGAACUAAGAUGAGAAAGGGUUAUUGUUACUCUUAGCAUUUCACUCAUUUUUAUUUAAAUAGCAUGUAUUUAAUUAAAUCUGUUUAGCUAUUUUAAUUUGAUGGAGUAAUUUCAGACUAUAUAAAUUAACCUUGGCUUUAUUCUUGUGUAUUACCUAUUUACUGAUUCAUUGAGCCAGUAUGUCUCUUUUUUUUAAAGAAUUAUAUAUUUUAUUUAUAUGAGUACACUGUAGCUGUCUUCAGACACACCAUCAUAUCCCAUUACAGAUGGUUGUGAGCCACCAUGUGGUUGCUGGGAAUUGAACUCAGGGCCUCUGGAAGAGCAGUCAGUGCCCUUAAUUGCUGAGCCAUCUCUCCAGCCCAUCUUUUUUUAUUUUAAAAACAUUUAGUUUUUUUUUUUUUUAAUGCAUGUGUUUUGUUGCAUGUAUGUGUGUACGACAUGUGUGCCUGAUGCUUACAGAAGUCAGAAGAGGGCAUUGGAUAUCCUCAAACUGGAGUAGAGACAGUUGUGAGCCACCAUGUUGGUACUGGGGCUCAAACCCGUGACCUAUGCAAGAACAAGACAUGCUCUUAACUAACCCAAGCCAUCUCUCCAGUCUCUAGUAUUUAUUAUGUCUUAUCUAUGUUGAUUUAGUAUGGAAAAACAAACUGGUGUCUGGUUUAUUUUACAUAAUGAGAUCUACAAUUCCAACUAUUUUCUUACAGAAGGUGUGGUAUGACUACAUGAAAACUCUGCUGUAUGUACAUACAUACCUUACCCAUUUAUCAGUAAGGACCUCGGUAGGCCUAUUGUAAACAGGGCUGCAGUAAAGAAUGUAAAACUCAAUCUUGUGUCACAGGUAUAUCUCAAGAUAGUUUGGGAAACAUUCAUACAGGGUCUUAUAUGCCACUAAGGACAUAUAUUUUGUUCAAACUGCAAUGUGAACCCUGACAGCUUUUAAGAAUUGACAUGGUUCAGUUUUUAUACACUGGAGAAUGUACUGGAGGGAGAAAAAAAUUUCAGAUGUGCACUUGAGAUAUGUGCUAGGAUAAGCUUAGCAUCCAGUAGGUGAGAAGAAUGUGACAUCAAGUUCAUUGUCAUGGUUAGGAUGAGCAAUAGGACUAAAGCUGCUGCCCUUUGC